rnacentral:rRNA from 1 species
UACGGAGGAUGCAAGCGUUAUCCGGAAUGAUUGGGCGUAAAGCGUCCGCAGGAGGCUGUGUAAGUCUGCUGUCAAAGAGCGAAGCUCAACUUCGUAAAGGCAGUGGAAACUACACGGCUAGAGUGCGUUCGGGGCAGAGGGAAUUCCUGGUGUAGCGGUGAAAUGCGUAGAGAUCAGGAAGAACACCGGUGGCGAAGGCGCUCUGCUAGGCCGCAACUGACACUGAGGGACGAAAGCUAGGGGAGCGAAUGGG